rnacentral:pre_miRNA from 1 species
UUUUCAGUGGAAGUAUGUCCUAUGCAAUAUUUGGGACAUACUUGAACUAAAU